rnacentral:siRNA from 1 species
CAAACACUCCGACGGAAGGUGUA